GACACCUGCCCGGUGCUGGAAGGUUAAGAGGGGAUGUUAUCGCAAGAGACGCAUUGAAUCGAAGCCCCAGUAAACGGCGGCCGUAACUAUAACGGUCCUAAGGUAGCGAAAUUCCUUGUCGGGUAAGUUCCGACCUGCACGAAUGGUGUAACGAUCUGGGCACUGUCUCAGCCAUGAGCUCGGUGAAAUUGUAGUUCCGGUGAAGAUGCCGGAUACCCGCAACGGGACGGAAAGACCCCGUGCACCUUCACUAUAGCUUAACAUUGACAUUGAAUAAACGAUGUGUAGGAUAGGUGGGAGAUUGUGAAGCGGAGGCGCUAGCUUUCGUGGAAUCAACCUUGAAAUACCACCCUUUGUUUAUUUGUAGCCUAAUCCCGCACAACGGGAGACAUUGCAUGGUGGGUAGUUUGACUGGGGUGGUCGCCUCCAAAAGAGUAACGGAGGCUUUCAAAGGUAUGCUCAGUACGCUUGGUAACCGUACGUAGAGUGCAAUAGCAUAAGCAUGCUUGACUGUGAGACCAACAAGUCGAGCAGGGUCGAAAGACGGAUAUAGUGAUCCGGUGGUUCCGCAUGGAAGGGCCAUCGCUCAAAGGAUAAAAGGUACGCCGGGGAUAACAGGCUGAUCACUCCCAAGAGCUCACAUCGACGGAGUGGUUUGGCACCUCGAUGUCGGCUCGUCACAUCCUGGGGCUGGAGAAGGUCCCAAGGGUUCGGCUGUUCGCCGAUUAAAGUGGCACGUGAGCUGGGUUCAGAACGUCGCGAGACAGUUCGGUCCCUAUCUGUUGUGGGCGUUGGAAGCUUGAGGGCACCUGACUCUAGUACGAGAGGACCGAGUCGGACAUACCGCUAGUGUACCUGUUGUGGCGCCAGCUGCAUUGCAGGGUAGCUACGUAUGGUUGAGAUAAGCGCUGAAAGCAUCUAAGCGCGAAACUCAGCCCAAGAUGAGGCUUCCUUUAAGGGUCGUUGUAGACUACGACGUUGAUAGGCUGCAGGUGUAAAGCCAGUAAUGGCAAAGCCGAGCAGUACUAAUUACCCGUAAAUUUUCUGUUG
rnacentral:rRNA from 1 species